rnacentral:sRNA from 1 species
UUUAUCCACAGAAAAGGUACAAUACAGUCGGCAGCAGUGCAAUCUUGUUCACGCGCCCAUAUGAGUGCCUGAAUCCUAACUAGGAGCUCUUACCACAGCCAUGCUCAUUCAUUCCCUGGGCUCUCAGAUGAG